rnacentral:rRNA from 1 species
AGAGUUUGAUCAUGGCUCAGAACGAACGCUGGCGGCGUGCUUAACACAUGCAAGUCGAGUGCGCGUUUCGUAGCAAUACGAGAUGGCGCACGGCGCACGGGUGCGUAACACGUGGGUAACCUGCCCUUUGGUGGGGAAUAACUCCGCGAAAGCGGAGCUAAUUCCGCAUAAGAUCCGCAAGGAUGAAAGCCGCAAGGCGCCGAUGGAGGGGCCCGCGCACGAUUAGCUAGUUGGUAGGGUAACGGCCUACCAAGGCUUUGAUCGUUAGCUGGUCUGAGAGGAUGGCCAGCCACACUGGAACUGAGACACGGUCCAGACUCCUACGGGAGGCAGCAGUGGGGAAUCUUGCACAAUGGGCGAAAGCCUGAUGCAGCGACGCCGCGUGGGGGAUGAAGCAUUUCGGUGUGUAAACCCCUUUCGAUCCGGACGAAUGCCCGCAAGGGAUUGACGGUACGGAUAUAAGAAGCCCCGGCUAACUACGUGCCAGCAGCCGCGGUAAGACGUAGGGGGCCAGCGUUGUUCGGAAUUACUGGGUGUAAAGGGUUCGUAGGCGGUGCGGCAAGUUGGGAGUGAAAUCUCUGGGCUUAACCCAGAGGCUGCUUCCAAAACUGCUGUGCUUGAGUGUGGGAGAGGCGCGUGGAAUUGCAGGUGUAGCGGUGAAAUGCGUAGAUAUCUGCAGGAACACCCGUGGCGAAAGCGGCGCGCUGGACCACUACUGACGCUGAGGAACGAAAGCUAGGGGAGCAAACAGGAUUAGAUACCCUGGUAGUCCUAGCCCUAAACGAUCAGGACUUGGGGUGCCACCCGUUCGGGUGUCGUCCCGGAGCUAACGCGUUAAGUCCUGCACCUGGGGAGUACGGUCGCAAGACUGAAACUCAAAGGAAUUGACGGGGCCCGCACAAGCGGUGGAACAUGUGGUUCAAUUCGACGCUACGCGAGGAACCUUACCUGGGCCUCGG